UACGUAGGGGGCAAGCGUUGUCCGGAUUUAUUGGGCGUAAAGAGCGUGUAGGCGGCUAGGUAGGUCCGUUGUGAAAACUGGAGGCUCAACUUCCAGCCGUCGACGGAAACCGUGUGGCUAGAGUCCGGAAGAGGAGAGUGGAAUUCCUGGUGUAGCGGUGAAAUGCGCAGAUAUCAGGAAGAACACCAAUGGCGAAGGCAGCUCUCUGGGACGGUACUGACGCUGAGACGCGAAAGCGUGGGGAGCGAACAGG
rnacentral:rRNA from 1 species